rnacentral:rRNA from 1 species
UACGGAGGGGGCGAGCGUUAUUCGGAAUUAUUGGGCGUAAAGGGCGCGUAGGCGGCUUGGUAAGUCAAAGGUGAAAUCCCUCGGCUCAACUGAGGAAUUGCCUUUGAAACUACCUGGCUCGAGGCCGGGAGGGGGUAGCGGAAUUCCCAGUGUAGCGGUGAAAUGCGUAGAUAUCAGGAGGAACACCGGUGGCGAAGGCGGGUCUCUGGGCCGUAACUGACGCUGAGGAGCGAAAGCGUGGGGAGCGAACAGG